rnacentral:tRNA from 1 species
GGCUGGAUGGCCGAGCGGUCUAAGGCGCUGUGUUCAGGUCGCAGUCUUCGGGCGUGGGUUCGAAUCCCACUCCAGUCA